rnacentral:rRNA from 1 species
GCAAGGAAUUUUCGUCAAUGGGGGCAACCCUGAACGAGCAACGCCGCGUGGGCGAAGAAGUCCUUCGGGAUGUAAAGCCCUUUUCCCUGGGAAGAAAGAAAGACGGUACCAGGGGAAUAAGCAUCGGCUAACUACGUGCCAGCAGCCGCGGUAAUACGUAGGAUGCAAGCGUUGUCCGGAAUUAUUGGGCGUAAAGAGCGCGCAGGCGGUGUAUCAAGUCAGAUGUGAAAUAUCCCGGCUUAACCGGGAGGGGUCAUUUGAAACUGGUAGACUAGAGUGCAGCAGAGGAUAGCGGAAUUCCCGGUGUAGUGGUGAAAUGCGUAGAUAUCGGGAGGAACACCAGUGGCGAAGGCGGCUAUCUGGGCUGCAACUGACGCUGAGGCGCGAAGGCUAGGGGAGCAAACAGG